CCGCCUGCCAACCACCCUCCCUAGCUGCAGCCGAAGCUAUAAAAAGCACAGCCAUUCAACAAUAGGUGACAUCACCCAGCGGCGGAAAGAACUGGAUUCUGCCAGAUGCCAGGGAGAGUUAUGGCCCCUACCUCUCCCGCAGGACAGGAGCCCACUGGGAAAGGGCCUGGGACCAAUCCAUUUUAGGGAUAAGAAGACUGAGCUCCUGGGCUGCCAUGCUGAAGGUGAGGAGCUAGGAGGCUGGAGGCCCCUCUGCUCUGCCACUUCCUGUCUCCCACCGGAGAUGGAAGAUGAUACUAACAGAGAGAGAGUCAUCAUAAAAUGGGAAGCGUAGUCCUUCUCCUCAAGGCCCCUGUGUCACGGCCCUGGGCCUGAAGGAAGCCUGGUCCUCAACUCACAGCCCUUGACACUCCACAAAGCAGUUCCACGUACGUGUACUCAAUGAGCAUCACUCAGGGAAGGUGCGACUGGACAAAGAAGGACAGUCAUUCCUGGUCACCACACCUGAAAUGAUAGCCAGGACGUCUGUGCAGGUUCGGGGCCCUGAGCGCCACGAGGGCCUUCUCAGCACAGCAGGCUUUGCUAAUGGCUCACUGCCUCCUGCCUGAGCCCCGCACUCCUCCUUCUUGGCGAUCAGCAAGAGGACGUCUGAAUGUCUGCCCAGGGCCACGUGACCCUCUAGAGCCCUGACAGCUGUUGGCCAAGCCCCAGAGAUGCGGGGCAGCUCUCAGCACUCAGAGAGGAUGCCUGAGGCCUCUGGCUCCACACUCAGCAUGGAGCCUAACACAGGGCUUGAACUCACGACCCCGAGAUCAAGACCUGAGAUGAAGUGUUGGAUGCUCAACCAACUGAGCCAGCCAGGCACGCCAUCAGCACCUUCAUCUUAGAUGAGACAAUCAUGGAGGGUUCUCAGCAGAGUAUGGGACCCAGGGAAACCUACGAAGUAUAAAACAUGCUUCUUAUGCCCUCUGGCCCUAAACACAAUGUCAGUCUAUAUUCAGGAUCAAAUAAUCCCCCAACCACAUGCUGCUAGUUGCCCAGAUGCUGCUUUUGUCAGCAGAGGGAGGGGAUCGUAGGGCACUGUUCACACUCCCCAGAGCUGGGCCACUCCUCUGCUUCGUCUCUUUGGAAUUUUCCCCCGAGAGAGCCCACCAUCCAUCAAGAGCAUGCAGACUCUGCAGGGACCCAAUGCCUGACAUCUUCAUGGCGAAGUCUCAGCCCCAGGCUGCCACUGCCCACAUGGAAGCUGCGGAACCCGAAGGCAGGGCGGGGGACCUGUGGCUCAUCCCCUGGCCUCGGUCCAUCAGGGAUAUCUAAGAGGCCAUCAGGGAUAUCUAAGAGGCUGCGCCACCUCAGAGGCAAUGACCCUGGGACAUCAAUGGCCUUGAAAGCCCCCUUUAAAUGGAAGGUGAGCAACUCACUUCUUAGAUGCCCCCCCACACCCCAUCUCAAGCCUUCUCUCACUGUAUCUGCUGAAGCCGGGUGGUCCUCGGCGGCUGGGUGGUGGGUGAAGGGACGUACCGCAUGCCCUCCGGGCUCCUGGAGCCAGUAUCUGGCUCUGGCUCUGCGCACACCAAUGAGUGAGCAAGUCCCUUCCUCCCGGGACUUCAGUUUCCUUCAGGAGACAAUAAACGUAAGCCCCUCCGCACAGCCCUGGCACCAAAUACACACUCAAUAAACCUCACUUAUCAUUAUUAUCUACAAAAUAGGGGUCUGUGUCCCCACCCUGCCCCUGUGUUCUGCACCCAGGACCACCGCCCCCCCCCCCCCACUCUGCUCAGUGCCUCUGGGCUGCCUCUCUUCCGUCCAUCGGUGCGCUGUCCACAGGUGGGGCAGGCGCCUAACCCAAGCUGCAAACCCAGCCCAGCACAGCCCCUGCACACGUGCUCAGAAGUGUCUGUGGGACGGAGCUGAGACAUCGGGGCCCUUCCAGCUCUGACUGACUGUGGUUAUAAAUUGAACCUCCACCCAUUUGCUCAUCCAACACAGACAGGGACCCUCCCUGGGCUUGGCACUGGCUGCCUAGAAAGGAAAUCCACCCCCCCCCCCGCCCCGCCACAACCCUUUGAAUGUGAGCUCCAUGACAUUCUGUUUUGGUCACGGCUACCUGGCACAGUGCUGAGAAUA